ACAGAGGGUGCAAGCGUUAGUCGGAGUUACUGGGCGUAAAGGGCGUGUAGGCUGAUAUUCAAGUCGAUUGUGAAAUCCCUGGGCUUAACCUAGGAAUUGCAGUCGAUACUGGAUGUCUUGAGUAUGGUAGAGGAAAGUAGAAUUCUCGGUGUAGUGGUUAAAUACGUAGAUAUCGAGAAGAAUACCGGUGGCGAAGGCGGCUUUCUGGACCAAUACUGACGCUGAGGCGCGAAAGCGUGGGGAGCAAACAG
rnacentral:rRNA from 1 species